UUAGCAUGCAAUUGCGCUGGUUAGCUUGCUUGCAGGCUGGGGAACACGGUGAAAUUCCGUGACUGACGCGCAGCGGUGAUAGAGAACGAAAGCACAUGGACGUUCAGUUCCAAACACUGCUUCUAUAACCUGUGCAAUGCAGGUGUCUGAAGUGGGAAGUUGUUGCCUAGGUGGCCGUUCGGCCAAGCUCUUAAGUCCGAAGACCGACCAGUGUACCGAGCCGAGC
rnacentral:ncRNA from 2 species